rnacentral:lncRNA from 1 species
CAGAUACAGAUGCAUUUCUGACAUUUCGUUCAGCUCUCAAACUAGAAAUGAAUAUAGUGAAACAGCACAAUCUCUGUAAAGUACAAAACAUCGAGUUACAGGGCAGCAGACAGACAGGACAGCAAUAAUGGGAGGACCCUCCUAAGCCACGUAUUCUACAUAUAGCAGGUUCCUGGCUGGGUUCAUACUAUGGCCCUAGUUCAAAUGGACUGAGUACAAAAAAAUACUUUGACCAAUAAUUAAUUGAACUGGAAACAAACAGUCUACUAAAAAGCAAUUCUUACUCUAGGUGCCAAUGAGUCCUUAAAAGCAGGGAGGGGAGUGGGGAGCUGCUCUUUGGCAGUGCUGCCAAGAUCAUUCACGCUGCUCCAUUUUUACUUUAGGAGGUCUCAGGAAGGUCCUGUUCUUCUUUUCUUUCUUGCCCUUUGUAUUUGCCUGGAAAUUUCUCCAGCUGUCCACACGACCAUCCCGACUUUCCUCAAAGUUCUUCUGCCAUUCUCGUUCUCGUUUAGCCUUCUCCUGUGCUUCAAUUUCUUCUUCUCUUUGUCGUUUCCUUUCAUGCAUUUCUUUAGCUUCUCUCUCUUUCCUCUUAAUUUCCAGUUCAGCAAAGAGCUUCAUUGUCUGCUUGUAUACAGCCUGUUUGAAAACUUCAGGAUCAUCUUCUUCUACAUUGGGAGGUUUUCCAUCCUUCUUCAGUUGCUUCUUUUUUUCUUUCACAGUAUGUUCCACAUAUUCUUUUCCUGCCUGUAUCACAUCCAAGGCCCUCUUCUUUUGCUCCUGAUCUAGCAGCAACUUAUAUGCUUUAUCUACAGCUUCAAAUGCCUUCUGAGCUCUAUCUGCAUCAUCUUGAUUUUUGUCUGGAUGUACCAAUAUUGACAGCUGUCGGAACCUUUUCUUUAUUUCUUCAUCUGUGGCUUCAGGAUCCAUCUGCAGAACCUCAAAAGGAUUCAAGUUGAAAUAGGAAGAUCCAGGUCGGGUCAGCCUGUCAAUUUGGUUUUUUGAUGUUAAAACAGAAUCUCGUUUUUCAAUUUGUUUCACCUCGCUGUAGAAGGUGAGGAACGCCUCCUCGGCGGCGCCCCCCGCCCCGCGCUCCUCCGGAGCCGCCAUCGC